AGCGCAACGCUGUACUGCGCGCAGGGGUGGGACAGUCGCCUUAUAGAGACGUUUUCAGAAAACUGUAGUGCCAUCUGAUAGUUGGCCCCAAAAUUAAAGCUUUGUCAGCUGUCACUCGCUUUGAAACCUGCGCACUGGUCAUAAAAUGGCGGCUACUUCUAGCGUUUGCACUUUGCGCAUGUAUGUAGCUCUCGUGUUCCAUUUUGCAUAUUUUUGGUAUUGAAAUCGAAGUGUAAGUGCGUCGAGUCGAGCCUUGUGUUCCUCCGCCUUGCUGUUGCGAAUUCACUCCAAAAAUCUCCUUAUUCUGUGUAUUUCUACGUUUUGUGAUAGAGACACUUUUGUUUGUGGAAUUUAUGAACUUUGGUGUAAUGCCGAGACGUUGUGCUUUCGGUUGUGCGCUCCGUGAGAUUCCAAUGCAUAGUUGCCCAGAUGCUGUCAAAUUCAUGAGCAGUUUAAAACUUGGGUCAGUCUUGUUGGUGGAAACCCUUAAACAUCUGAUCUUGAAUGUUAUAAGAAGAUAUGAUGUAUAUUAUAUAUAUAAUAUAUAAUUAUGAUCACUUAACACCAGGUGACCCGUACGCUCGUUUUUCCUCUUAUUCCAUAAAAAAAAAAUGUGAUAUACACUUUUCUGACAGACACAGAAAUCAUAUUCAAUGGCUAAGCACAUUGGCAGUUCCGAUGCUUCAUCUGCUUGAGCCAUAUGUGAGCAAUUUUAUUUUGGAAAAAGCAUCAACUUCAACAACAUUCCAACCUGGCUGCAGAUGCAUCUCAAGGUGCUUGAUGCUGGAACAUAAUUAUAGUUUCAUUAGCAAGCCUAAAAGAACAGCUGGAAAAGAUCUAAUGGCUCUACAGCGCACAAAGAUCAAGCAUCUUCAAGCAGAAAUAUCGCGCUUGCGAAAAAAAGGACAAUCUUUCAAAGCAAGGUGGUGCAGAUCGAUCAAUCGAAUUUUGUCAGGAAAAUUAACAUAUGUGGGUGAUGACGAAACAUAAAGAGCUGCCCAACAAUAUUAUGAUAAACAUAAACAUUAUAAAAAUAA